UACGGAGGAUGCAAGCGUUAUCCGGAUUUAUUGGGUUUAAAGGGUCCGCAGGCGGACCAAUCAGUCAGUGGUGAAAUCCCAUCGCUCAACGAUGGAACUGCCAUUGAUACUGUUGGUCUUGAGUCUAGUUGACGUAGGCGGAAUAUGACAUGUAGCGGUGAAAUGCAUAGAUAUGUCAUAGAACACCAAUUGCGAAGGCAGCUUACGAAACUACGACUGACGCUCAUGGACGAAAGCGU
rnacentral:rRNA from 1 species